UGGGGAAUUUUGGACAAUGGGCGAAAGCCUGAUCCAGCAAUGCCGCGUGUGUGAAGAAGGCCUUCGGGUUGUAAAGCACUUUUGUCCGGAAAGAAAUCCUUGGCUCUAAUACAGUCGGGGGAUGACGGUACCGGAAGAAUAAGCACCGGCUAACUACGUGCCAGCAGCCGCGGUAAUACGUAGGGUGCAAGCGUUAAUCGGAAUUACUGGGCGUAAAGCGUGCGCAGGCGGUUUGCUAAGACCGAUGUGAAAUCCCCGGGCUCACUGGGAACUGCAUUGGUGACUGGCAGGCUAGAGUAUGGCAGAGGGGGUAGAAUUCCACGUGUAGCAGUGAAAUGCGUAGAGAUGUGGAGGAAUACCGAUGGCGAAGGCAGCCCCCUGGGCCAAUACUGACGCUCAUGCACGAAAGCGUGGGGAGCAAACAGGAUUAGAUACCCUGGUAGUCCACGCCCUAAACGAUGUCAACUAGUUGUUGGGGAUUCAUUCCUUAGUAACGUAGCUAACGCGUGAAGUUGACCGCCUGGGGAGUACGGUCGCAAGAUUAAAACUCAAAUGAAUUG
rnacentral:rRNA from 1 species